CCUACGGGGGGCAGCAGGGAGGAAUAUUGGUCAAUGGACGAGAGUCUGAACCAGCCAAGUAGCGUGAAGGAUGACUGCCCUAUGGGUUGUAAAAUUCUUUUAUAAAGGAAUAAAACGAGGCACGUGUGCCUUUUUGCAUGUACGUUAUGAAUAAGGAUCGGCUAACUCCGUGCCAGAAGCCGCGGUAAUACGGAGGAUCCGAGCGUUAUCCGGAUUUAUUGGGUUUAAAGGGAGCGUAGAUGGGUUGUUAAGUCCGUUGUGAAAGUUUGCGGCUCAACCGUAAAAUUGCAAUUGAUACUGGCAGUCUUGAGUACAGUUGAGGUAGGCGGCAUUCUUGGUGUAGCGGUGAAAUGCUUAGCUAUCACG
rnacentral:rRNA from 1 species